rnacentral:rRNA from 1 species
GUGGGGAAUAUUGGACAAUGGGCGAAAGCCUGAUCCAGCCAUGCCGCGUGUGUGAAGAAGGCCUUUUGGUUGUAAAGCACUUUAAGCGAGGAGGAGGCUCCUUUAGUUAAUACCUAAAGUGAGUGGACGUUACUCGCAGAAUAAGCACCGGCUAACUCUGUGCCAGCAGCCGCGGUAAUACAGAGGGUGCAAGCGUUAAUCGGAUUUACUGGGCGUAAAGCGCGCGUAGGUGGCCAAUUAAGUCAAAUGUGAAAUCCCCGAGCUUAACUUGGGAAUUGCAUUCGAUACUGGUUGGCUAGAGUAUGGGAGAGGAUGGUAGAAUUCCAGGUGUAGCGGUGAAAUGCGUAGAGAUCUGGAGGAAUACCGAUGGCGAAGGCAGCCAUCUGGCCUAAUACUGACACUGAGGUGCGAAAGCAUGGGGAGCAAACAGGAUUAGAAACCCUUGUAGUCC